UCUCCUGGGUGACGAGCGGCGGCACGGGUGAGUAAUGUCUGGGAAACUGCCUGAUGGAGGGGGAUAACUACUGGAAACGGUAGCUAAUACCGCAUAACGUCGCAAGACCAAAGAGGGGGACCUUCGGGCCUCUUGCCAUCAGAUGUGCCCAGAUGGGAUUAGCUAGUAGGUGGGGUAAUGGCUCACCUAGGCGACGAUCCCUAGCUGGUCUGAGAGGAUGACCAGCCACACUGGAACUGAGACACGGUCCAGACUCCUACGGGAGGCAGCAGUGGGGAAUAUUGCACAAUGGGCGCAAGCCUGAUGCAGCCAUGCCGCGUGUGUGAAGAAGGCCUUCGGGUUGUAAAGCACUUUCAGCGAGGAGGAAGGUGGUGAACUUAAUACGUUCAUCAAUUGACGUUACUCGCAGAAGAAGCACCGGCUAACUCCGUGCCAGCAGCCGCGGUAAUACGGAGGGUGCAAGCGUUAAUCGGAAUUACUGGGCGUAAAGCGCACGCAGGCGGUUUGUUAAGUCAGAUGUGAAAUCCCCGGGCUCAACCUGGGAACUGCAUUUGAAACUGGCAAGCUAGAGUCUCGUAGAGGGGGGUAGAAUUCCAGGUGUAGCGGUGAAAUGCGUAGAGAUCUGGAGGAAUACCGGUGGCGAAGGCGGCC
rnacentral:rRNA from 1 species